UACAGAGGAUGCAAGCGUUAUCCGGAAUGAUUGGGCGUAAAGCGUCUGUAGGUGGCUUUUUAAGUCCGCCGUCAAAUCCCAGGGCUCAACUCUGGACAGGCGGUGGAAACUACCAAGCUGGAGUACGGUAGGGGCAGAGGGAAUUUCCGGUGGAGCGGUGAAAUGCGUAGAGAUCGGAAAGAACACCAACGGCGAAGGCAGCUCGCUGGGACGGAACUGACGCUAAGGCGCGAAAGCGUGGGGAGCGAACAGGA
rnacentral:rRNA from 1 species